AGUGAACGCUGGCGGUAGGCCUAACACAUGCAAGUCGAACGGCAGCACAGUAAGAGCUUGCUCUUACGGGUGGCGAGUGGCGGACGGGUGAGGAAUACAUCGGAAUCUACUUUUUCGUGGGGGAUAACGUAGGGAAACUUACGCUAAUACCGCAUACGACCUACGGGUGAAAGCAGGGGAUCUUCGGACCUUGCGCGAUUGAAUGAGCCGAUGUCGGAUUAGCUAGUUGGCGGGGUAAAGGCCCACCAAGGCGACGAUCCGUAGCUGGUCUGAGAGGAUGAUCAGCCACACUGGAACUGAGACACGGGCCAGACUCCUACGGGAGGCAGCAGUGGGGAAUAUUGGACAAUGGGCGCAAGCCUGAUCCAGCCAUACCGCGUGGGUGAAGAAGGCCUGCGGGUUGUAAAGCCCUUUUGUUGGGAAAGAAAAGCAGCAGGUUAAUACCCCGCUGUUCUGACGGGACCCAAAGAAUAAGCACCGGCUAACUUCGU
rnacentral:rRNA from 1 species